rnacentral:misc_RNA from 1 species
AUAUUAUAUUAAUGGCCUUGCGGCACAAGCACGUUCAGCAUUAUUGACAGCGUAUAGUAAUUUAAAGGAAUGCAAGAUGAUCACCAAAAGGCGGCAAAUCAACUUAAUUCCCUCAAAAAUGUGCACAGGUGUUUGGAAUAUGAUUGUCAGGGCAAGCACAUGCAUCCAAAAAAAUUGGCUGCCAGCAUCAAACCCCAUCACAACUCAUUAAUGAUCCUUCCGCAGGUUCACCUACGGAAA